rnacentral:rRNA from 1 species
UCGAGCGGGGGAGAUUGCUUCGGUAAUUGACCUAGCGGCGGACGGGUGAGUAAUACUUAGGAAUCUGCCUAUUAAUGGGGGACAACAUCUCGAAAGGGAUGCUAAUACCGCAUACGCCCUACGGGGGAAAGCAGGGGAUCACUUGUGACCUUGCGUUAAUAGAUGAGCCUAAGUCGGAUUAGCUAGUUGGUGGGGUAAAGGCCUACCAAGGCGACGAUCUGUAGCGGGUCUGAGAGGAUGAUCCGCCACACUGGGACUGAGACACGGCCCAGACUCCUACGGGAGGCAGCAGUGGGGAAUAUUGGACAAUGGGGGGAACCCUGAUCCAGCCAUGCCGCGUGUGUGAAGAAGGCCUUAUGGUUGUAAAGCACUUUAAGCGAGGAGGAGGCUCUUUUGGUUAAUACCCAAGAUGAGUGGACGUUACUCGCAGAAUAAGCACCGGCUAACUCUGUGCCAGCAGCCGCGGUAAUACAGAGGGUGCGAGCGUUAAUCGGAUUUACUGGGCGUAAAGCGUGCGUAGGCGGCUUUUUAAGUCGGAUGUGAAAUCCCCGAGCUUAACUUGGGAAUUGCAUUCGAUACUGGGAAGCUAGAGUAUGGGAGAGGAUGGUAGAAUUCCAGGUGUAGCGGUGAAAUGCGUAGAGAUCUGGAGGAAUACCGAUGGCGAAGGCAGCCAUCUGGCCUAAUACUGACGCUGAGGUACGAAAGCAUGGGGAGCAAACAGGAUUAGAUACCCUGGUAGUCCAUGCCGUAAACGAUGUCUACUAGCCGUUGGGGGUCUUUGAGACUUUAGUGGCGCAGCUAACGCGAUAAGUAGACCGCCUGGGGAGUACGGUCGCAAGACUAAAAACUCAAAUGAAUUGACGGGGGCCCGCACAAGCGGUGGAGCAUG